AUGAUCCGGACGCUGUCUCAACCAUGAGCUCAGUGAAAUUGUAGUAUCGGUGAAGAUGCCGAUUACCCGCGAUGGGACGAAAAGACCCCGUGAACCUUUACUACAGCUUAGCAUUGACCUUGGUCAUCCGAUGUGUAGGAUAGGCCGGAGGCUUCGAAGCGGGAGCGCCAGCUUUCGUGGAGCCAUCCUUGAAAUACGGCCCUUUGGCUGUCUGAGGUCUAACGCGUGAUACGCGGA
rnacentral:rRNA from 1 species